AGUCGAGCGAACAGACAAGGAGCUUGCUCCUUUGACGUUAGCGGCGGACGGGUGAGUAACACGUGGGUAACCUACCUAUAAGACUGGGAUAACUUCGGGAAACCGGAGCUAAUACCGGAUAAUAUUUCGAACCGCAUGGUUCGAUAGUGAAAGAUGGUUUUGCUAUCACUUAUAGAUGGACCCGCGCCGUAUUAGCUAGUUGGUAAGGUAACGGCUUACCAAGGCGACGAUACGUAGCCGACCUGAGAGGGUGAUCGGCCACACUGGAACUGAGACACGGUCCAGACUCCUACGGGAGGCAGCAGUAGGGAAUCUUCCGCAAUGGGCGAAAGCCUGACGGAGCAACGCCGCGUGAGUGAUGAAGGUCUUCGGAUCGUAAAACUCUGUUAUUAGGGAAGAACAUACGUGUAAGUAACUAUGCACGUCUUGACGGUACCUAAUCAGAAAGCCACGGCUAACUACGUGCCAGCAGCCGCGGUAAUACGUAGGUGGCAAGCGUUAUCCGGAAUUAUUGGGCGUAAAGCGCGCGUAGGCGGUUUUUUAAGUCUGAUGUGAAAGCCCACGGCUCAACCGUGGAGGGUCAUUGGAAACUGGAAAACUUGAGUGCAGAAGAGGAAAGUGGAAUUCCAUGUGUAGCGGUGAAAUGCGCAGAGAUAUGGAGGAACACCAGUGGCGAAGGCGACUUUCUGGUCUGUAACUGACGCUGAUGUGCGAAAGCGUGGGGAUCAAACAGGAUUAGAUACCCUGGUAGUCCACGCCGUAAACGAUGAGUGCUAAGUGUUAGGGGGUUUCCGCCCCUUAGUGCUGCAGCUAACGCAUUAAGCACUCCGCCUGGGGAGUACGACCGCAAGGUUGAAACUCAAAGGAAUUGACGGGGACCCGCACAAGCGGUGGAGCAUGUGGUUUAAUUCGAAGCAACGCGAAGAACCUUACCAAAUCUUGACAUCCUUUGACAACUCUAGAGAUAGAGCCUUCCCCUUCGGGGGACAAAGUGACAGGUGGUGCAUGGUUGUCGUCAGCUCGUGUCGUGAGAUGUUGGGUUAAGUCCCGCAACGAGCGCAACCCUUAAGCUUAGUUGCCAUCAUUAAGUUGGGCACUCUAAGUUGACUGCCGGUGACAAACCGGAGGAAGGUGGGGAUGACGUCAAAUCAUCAUGCCCCUUAUGAUUUGGGCUACACACGUGCUACAAUGGACAAUACAAAGGGCAGCGAAACCGCGAGGUCAAGCAAAUCCCAUAAAGUUGUUCUCAGUUCGGAUUGUAGUCUGCAACUCGACUACAUGAAGCUGGAAUCGCUAGUAAUCGUAGAUCAGCAUGCUUCGGUGAAUACGUUCCCGGGUCUUGUACACACCGCCCGCCACACCACGAGAGUUUGUAACACCCGAAGCCGGUGGAGUAACCAUUUGGAGCUAGCCGUCGA
rnacentral:rRNA from 1 species